GAUGAGCGCUGGCGGCGUGCCUAAUACAUGCAAGUCGAGCGAACGGACGAGAAGCUUGCUUCUCUGAUGUUAGCGGCGGACGGGUGAGUAACACGUGGAUAACCUACCUAUAAGACUGGUAUAACUUCGGGAAACCGGAGCUAAUACCGGAUAAUAUUUUGAACCGCAUGGUUCAAAAGUGAAAGACGGUCUUGCUGUCACUUAUAGAUGGAUCCGCGCUGCAUUAGCUAGUUGGUAAGUUAACGGCUUACCAAGGCAACGAUGCAUAGCCGACCUGAGAGGGUGAUCGGCCACACUGGAACUGAGACCCGGUCCAGACGCCUACGGGAGGCAGCAGUAGGGAAUCUUCCGCAAUAGGCGAAAGCCUGACGGAGCAACGCCGCGUGAGUGAUGAAGGUCUUCGGAUCGUAAAACUCUGUUAUUAGGGAAGAACAUAUGUGUAAGUAACUGUGCACAUCUUGACGGUACCUAAUCAGAAAGCCACGGCUAACUACGUG
rnacentral:rRNA from 1 species